CCUAUCUUUAUUUGCUAGCUCCUUACCUAACAGAGGGUUCAGUAACCCCCACUUCUCCAGUGCUCUGGCAAAGGAGCAAGAGAUUGCUUUCCAGGGAAAGAACAAAGAAGACAAAAACUGAAAUCAUCAGUGAUAAGUAAGCAACCACAGUGAGAAUCAAAGGAUUGUAUAAAACAAAAGCAAAGAGGGUAUG